GAUGAACGCUGGCGGCGUGCUUAACACAUGCAAGUCGAACGAUGAAGCCCAGCUUGCUGGGUGGUUUAGUGGCGAACGGGUGAGUAACACGUGAGUAACCUGCCCUUAACUCUGGGAUAAGCCUUGGAAACUGGGUCUAAUACCGGAUAGGAGCGUCCACCGCAUGGUGGGUGUUGGAAAGAUUUAUCGGUUUUGGAUGUACUCGCGGCCUAUCAGCUUUUUCGUGAGGGAAUGGCUCACCAAGGCGACGACGGAUAGCCGGCCUGAGAGGGUGACCAGGCACACUGGGACUGAGACACGGCCCAGACGCCAACGGGAGGCAGCAGUGGGGAGUAUUGCCCAAUGGGAGCAAGCCUGAUGCAGAGACGCCGCGUGAGGGAUGACGGCCUUCGGGUUGUAAACCUCUUUCAGUAGGGAAGAAGCGAAAGUGACGGUACCUGCAGAAGAAGCACCGGCUAACUACGUG
rnacentral:rRNA from 1 species